rnacentral:rRNA from 1 species
GACGAACGCUGGCGGCGUGCCUAAUACAUGCAAGUCGAACGAGUGGCGGACGGGUGAGUAAUGUCUGGGAAACUGCCUGAUGGAGGGGGAUAACUACUGGAAACGGUAGCUAAUACCGCAUAACAUCAGCUGUGCCCAGAUGGGAUUAGCUUGUUGGUGGGGUAACGGCUCACAAAGGCGACGAUCCCUAGCUGGUCUGAGAGGAUGACCAGCCACACUGUAACUUAGACACGGUCCAGACUCCUAUGGGAGGCAGCAGUGGGGAAUAUUGCACUAUGGGCGCAAGCCUGAUGCAGCCAUGCCGCGUGUAUGAAGAAGGCCUUCGGGUUGUAAAGUACUUUCAGCGGGGAGACGUUACCCGCAGAAGAAGCACCGGCUAACUCCGUGCCAGCAGCCGCGGUAAUUC